AACGCACCUUGCGCCCUUUGGCCAUUCCGAAGGGCAUGCCUGUUUGAGCAUCAUGAACACCUCAACUCUCAUGGCUUGCAUGAUGAGCUUGGACUUUGGGGGUUUUGCUGGCCUGUGGGUUGGCUCCUCUCAAAUGAAUCAGCUUUCCAGUGUUUGGUGGCGUCACAGGUGUGAUAACUAUCUACGCUUGUGGGUUGCCUGCCAGGUAGCCUCUGGUGACAGAGGCUUGCUGGAGCUUAUAAACGUCUUUCCUCGGUGAGGAAAGCUUCUUGAACGUUCGAUCUCAAAUCAGGUAGGAUUACCCGCUGAACUUAA
rnacentral:rRNA from 1 species